UACGUAGGGACCAAGCGUUGUUCGGAUUUACUGGGCGUAAAGGGCGCGUAGGCGGCAAUUCAAGUCAGUUGUGAAAUCUCCGAGCUUAACUCGGAAAGGUCAACUGAUACUGUGCGGCUAGAGUGCGGAAGGGGCAACUGGAAUUCUUGGUGUAGCGGUGAAAUGCGUAGAUAUCAAGAGGAACACCUGCGGCGAAGGCGGGUUGCUGGGCCGACACUGACGCUGAGGCGCGAAAGCUAGGGGAGCGAACGGG
rnacentral:rRNA from 1 species